rnacentral:rRNA from 1 species
UACGGAGGGUGCAAGCGUUAUCCGGAUUCACUGGGUUUAAAGGGUGCGUAGGUUGAUAGGUAAGUCAGUGGUGAAAUACUCCGACUCAAUCGGAGAACUGCCGUUGAUACUAUCUAUCUUGAAUACGGUGGAGGCGGGCAGAAUGCGUCAUGUAGUGGUGAAAUACUUAGAUAUGACGCAGAAUACCCAUUGCGAAGGCAGCUCGCUACGCCGGCAUUGACACUGAGGCACGAAAGCGUGGGGAUCAAACAGG